rnacentral:snRNA from 1 species
GUGCUCACUUCAGCAACACAUAUACUGAAAUUGGAACGAGUCAGAGAUUAGCAUGGCCCCUGCACAAGGAUGAUAAUGAAAUGUGUGAAGUAUUUCAUAAUAAA